UGGGGAAUUUUCCGCAAUGGGCGAAAGCCUGACGGAGCAAUGCCGCGUGAAGGUGGAAGGCCUACGGGUCGUCAACUUCUUUUCUCGGAGAAGAAACAAUGACGGUAUCUGAGGAAUAAGCAUCGGCUAACUCUGUGCCAA
rnacentral:rRNA from 1 species